rnacentral:rRNA from 1 species
GAUGAACGCUAGCGGCAGGCUUAAUACAUGCAAGUCGAGGGGCAGCAUGAGUGUAGCAAUACAUUUGAUGGCGACCGGCAAACGGGUGCGGAACACGUACACAACCUUCCUAUAAGUGGGGAAUAGCCCAGAGAAAUUUGGAUUAAUACCCCGUAACAUAAUGAUGUGGCAUCACAUUAUUAUUAUAGCUUCGGCGCUUAUUGAUGGGUGUGCGGCUGAUUAGAUAGUUGGCGGGGUAACGGCCCACCAAGUCUACGAUCAGUAGCUGAUGUGAGAGCCUCAUCAGCAACACGGGCACAGAGACACGGGCCAGACUCCUACUGGAGGCAGCAGUAAGAAAUAUUGGUCAAUGGACGAAAGUCUGAGCCAGCCAUGCCGCGUGAAGGAUUAAGGUCCUCUGGAUUGUAAACUUCUUUUAUCUGGGACGAAAAAAGGCGAUUCUUCGUCACUUGACGGUACCAGAUGAAUAAGCACCGGCUAACGCCGUGCCAGCCGCCGCGGUAAUAC